rnacentral:rRNA from 1 species
UACAGAGGUGGCAAGCGUUGUUCGGAAUUACUGGGCGUAAAGGGCGCGUAGGCGGCCUUCUAAGUCAGACGUGAAAUCCCCCGGCUUAACCUGGGAACUGCGUCUGAUACUGGGAGGCUAGAGUGCGGGAGAGGGGGAUGGAAUUCCGCGUGUAGCAGUGAAAUGCGUAGAUAUGCGGAGGAACACCGAUGGCGAAGGCAAUCCCCUGGGCCUGCACUGACGCUCAUGCACGAAAGCGUGGGUAGCGAACAGG